rnacentral:rRNA from 1 species
CCCUUAGAGUUUGAUCCUGGCUCAGAUUGAACGCUGGCGGAAUGCUUUACACAUGCAAGUCGAACGAUGAACCUUAGCUUGCUAGGGGGAUUAGUGGCGGACGGGUGAGUAAUAUAUCGGAACGUGUCCAUUAAUGGGGGAUAACUAAUCGAAAGGUUGGCUAAUACCGCAUACGCCCUGAGGGGGAAAGCUGGGGAUCUUCGGACCUGGCGUUAAUGGAGCGGCCGAUACCUGAUUAGCUAGUUGGUAGGGCAAUGGCCUACCAAGGCAACGAUCAGUAGCUGGUCUGAGAGGACGACCAGCCACACUGGGACUGAGACACGGCCCAGACUCCUACGGGAGGCAGCAGUGGGGAAUUUUGGACAAUGGGGGAAACCCUGAUCCAGCCAUUCCGCGUGAGUGAAGAAGGCCUUCGGGUUGUAAAGCUCUUUCGCAAGGGAAGAAAAGAUAUAGGUGAAUAGCUUAUGUUGAUGACGGUACCUUGACAAGAAGCACCGGCUAACUACGUGCCAGCAGCCGCGGUAAUACGUAGGGUGCAAGCGUUAAUCGGAAUUACUGGGCGUAAAGCGUGCGCAGGCUGUUUUGUAAGUCAGAUGUGAAAUCCCCGAGCUCAACUUGGGAACUGCGUUUGAAACUACAAGACUAGAAUAGGUCAGAGGGGGGUAGAAUUCCACGUGUA